rnacentral:rRNA from 1 species
GCUCGUAGUUGAACUUCAGACCUGGCUGGGCGGUCUGCCUAACGGUAUGUACUGUCCGGCUGGGUCUUACCUCUUGGUGAGCCGGCAUGCCCUUCACUGGGUGUGUCGGGGAACCAGGACUUUUACCUNUGAGAAAAUUAGAGUGUUCAAAGCAGGCUUAUGCCCGAAUACAUUAGCAUGGAAUAAUAAAAUAGGACGUGCGGUUCUAUUUUGUUGGUUUCUAGAGUCGCCGUAAUGAUUAAUAGGGAUAGUUGGGGGCAUUAGUAUUCCGUUGCUAGAGGUGAAAUUCUUGGAUUUACGGAAGACUAACUAUUGCGAAAGCAUUUGCCAAGGAUGUUUUCAUUAAUCAAGAACGAAGGUUAGGGGAUCGAAAACGAUCAGAUACCGUUGUAGUCUUAACAGUAAACUAUGCCGACUAGGGAUCGGGCGAACUCAAUUUGAUGUGUCGCUCGGCACCUUACGAGAAAUCACAGUCUUUGGGUUCUGGGGGGAGUAUGGUCGCAAGGCUGAAACUUAAAGGAAUUGACGGAAGGGCACCACCAGGUGUGGAGCCUGCGGCUUAAUUUGACUCAACACGGGGAAACUCACCAGGUCCAGACAUGACUAGGAUUGACAGAUUGAUAGCUCUUUCAUGAUUUUAUGGGUGGUGGUGCAUGGCCGUUCUUAGUUGGUGGAGUGAUUUGUCUGGUUAAUUCCGAUAACGAACGAGACCUUAACCUGCUAAAUAGCCAGGCCGGCUUUUGCUGGUCGCCGGCUUCUUAGAGGGACUGUCUGCGCCUAGCAGACGGAAGUUUGAGGCAAUAACAGGCCUGUGAUGCCCUUAGAUGUUCUGGGCCGCACGCGCGCUACACUGACAGAGCCAGCGAGUUUUUUUCCUUGGCCGGAAGGUCUGGGUAAUCUUGUGAAACUCUGUCGCGCUGGGGAUAGAGCAUUGCAAUUAUUGCUCUUCAACGAGGAAU